UACGUAGGGGCGCAAGCGUUGUUCCGGAAUUAUUGGGCGUAAAGAGCUCGUAGGCGGUCUGUCACGUCUGCCGUGAAAACCCGAGGCUUAACCUCGUGGCUUGCGGUGGAUACGGGCAGACUAGAGGUAGGUAGGGGAGAAUGGAAUUCCCGGUGUAGCGGUGAAAUGCGCAGAUAUCGGGAGGAACACCGGUGGCGAAGGCGGGUUCUCUGGGCCUUACCCUGACGCUGAGGAGCGAAAGCGUGGGUAGCAAA
rnacentral:rRNA from 1 species